UACAGAGGUCUCAAGCGUUGUUCGGAUUCAUUGGGCGUAAAGGGUGCGUAGGCGGUGCGGCAAGUUGGGAGUGAAAUACUCUGGGCUUAACCCAGAGGCUGCUUCCAAAACUGCUGUGCUUGAGUGUGGGAGAGGCGCGUGGAAUUGCAGGUGUAGCGGUGAAAUGCGUAGAUAUCUGCAGGAACACCCGUGGCGAAAGCGGCGCGCUGGACCACUACUGACGCUGAGGAACGAAAGCUAGGGGAGCAAACAGG
rnacentral:rRNA from 1 species